rnacentral:rRNA from 1 species
CUUCUGGACAGUACUGACGCUGAGAUGCGAAAGCGUGGGGAGCAAACAGGAUUAGAUACCCUGGUAGUCCACGCUGUAAACGAUGUCGAUUUGGAGUUUGUUGCCUAGAGUGAUGGGCUCCGAAGCUAACGCGAUAAAUCGACCGCUGGGGAGUACGGCCGCAAGGUUAAAACUCAAAUGAAUUGACGGGGGCCCGCACAAGCGGUGGAGCAUGUGGUUUAAUUCGAUGCAACGCGAAGAACCUUACCUGGUCUUGACAUCCAUAGAAUUCUGCAGAGAUGUGGGAGUGCCUUCGGGAACUAUGAGACAGGUGCUGCAUGGCUGUCGUCGGCUCGUGUUGUGGAAUGUUGGGUUAAGUCCCGCAACGAGCGCAACCCUUAUUCUUUGUUGCCAGCGAUUUGGUCGGGAACUCAAAGGAGACUGCCGUUGAUAAAGCGGAGGAAGGUGGGGACGACGUCAAGUCAUCAUGGCCCUUACGACCAGGGCUACACACGUGCUACAAUGGCGUAUACAAAGGGAAGCGAAGGUGCGAGCUGGAGCGGAUCUCAUAAAGUACGUCUAAGUUCGGAUUGGAGUCUGCAACUCGACUCCAUGAAGUCGGAAUCGCUAGUAAUCGUAGAUCAGAAUGCUACGGUGAAUACGUUCCCGGGCCUUGUACACACCGCCCGUCACACCAUGGGAGUGGGUUGCACCAGAAGUAGAUAGCUUAACCGCGAGGGGGGCGUUUACCACGGUGUGAUUCAUGACUGGGGUGAAGUCGUAACAAGGUAACCA